AAUAUUGCGCAAUGGAGGAAACUCUGACGCAGCGACGCCGCGUGAGCGAUGAAGGNCUNNGGAUCNUNAAGCUCUGUCCUUGGNNNNNAAGGUCUUCGGCCUUGACGGUACCCAUGGAGGAAGCCCCGGCUAACUACGUGCCAGCAGCCGCGGUAAUACGUAGGGGCCAAGCGUUGUCCGGAAUGACUGGGCGUAAAGGGAGUGUAGGCGGCAAAGCAAGUUAUAUGUGCAAGCCCGUGGCUCAACCACGGAAUUGCAUAUAAAACUGCUUAGCUAGAGUGUGGGAGAGGUAAGUGGAAUUCCUAGUGUAGCGGUGGAAUGCGUAGAUAUUAGGAGGAACACCGGUGGCGAAAGCGGCUUACUGGAACAUAACUGACGCUGAGGCUCGAAAGCGUGGGGAGCAAACA
rnacentral:rRNA from 1 species